GACGAACGCUGGCGGCGUGCUUAACACAUGCAAGUCGAACGAAGUGGCGAACGGGUGAGUAACGCGUAAUCAACCUGCCCUUCAGAGGGGGACAACAGUUGGAAACGACUGCUAAUACCGCAUACUGAAGGAUGGGCUUGCGUCUGAUUAGCUAGUUGGAGGGGGAACGGCCCACCACGGCGAUGAUCAGUAGCCGGUCUGGGGGGAUGAUCGGCAAAAUUGGGACUGAGACACGGCCAAGACUCCUAAGGGAGGCAGCAGUUGGGAAUCUUCCGCAAUGGACGAAAGUCUGACGGAGCAACGCCGCGUGAGUGAUGACGGCCUUCGGGUUGUAAAGCUCUGUUAAUCGGGACGCGGUACCGGAAUAGAAAGCCACGGCUAACUACGUGCCAGCAGCCGCGGUAAUUC
rnacentral:rRNA from 1 species